rnacentral:misc_RNA from 1 species
GUGAAUUAAACAUGCUCGGUGUCUUCGCUUCGGCAAGGCCCUUGCUUAAAUCACAUCCUAACACCUGUGAACUGUAAGACGUAUGAUGAGGUCUUUGGCCAAGUCAUCGUCUGCCCAUCUUUAACAAACAAUUAAUGUAACAAACGUAGUCUCAUUAUAACCUAAUA